rnacentral:rRNA from 1 species
GUUGCGAUAGUAAUUCUGCUCAGUACGAGAGGAACCGCAGAUUCAUACACUUGGUUCACGUGCUUGGUCGGAACACCAGUGGCGCGAAGCUACUGGUGGUGCGAAACUACUGGAUUAUGAC